rnacentral:lncRNA from 1 species
AAGGGAAACAAGACCGUCCCGGCGCCUGGCUUCCCGGAGCUUACAUUCUAGAGUGACUUGCAGUGCAACUAUUUUCUCUUACUGGUUAUAUAACAAUAGUGCAACUUGUCUAAAUGCUGCACUCAUUUCUGGAUUCACAGGAACAGGUUUACUUUAUUGUUACACUAUAUUUGGGGACCAGUUAAGUGGAACUAUAACUUCAUCCAUAGGGAGGCGAAAAGCUUUUCAAAUAGGCCAGAGUGAGGCAAUAUUACACAGGGUUGCUUGGCAGGAAUAUUUCUAGUGAAAUGAUUAAAACUCUACAGGUAAAGUUCCGUGUGUGGCAUUCACGCAGCACUCCACUCUGAAGUGGUUGUCAUACACACGUGAGUGAGAGAAGCCAGCAGAGGGGAAGGGAGAGCCAGGCCCGGCCCGCUCCGCCCCCUGAAUCACGGAAGUGCUAACGUGACUCUUCUCCCAGGAAGUCGCAGCUGGGCUGAAGUCUUUUUUCCUCUUCUUUUCCUUUUUUCUUCUACCCCUUCAACUCAUGUCCUAGUCCAUGAUGAGAAAGGAAAGGAAACGGGGUGAAGGUGAGCCCAUCCCAAGCUGCACGGAGUUGACAAAAGGCAGGGAGGUGCUGCCGUGCCCAGCUCCAACAGCACUGAAGCCCGGAUUUUUGGCUCACUUUUCGCAAGUGCCAUGUGUACCAAUAAAAAGAGAGUUCUGCAGGAAAUGAGGUGUGACGCAGGCCAGCUUCACCAGUCUCUCGGACCAAGAAAUAAGAAUUUAAAUAUGAAAUACUAAAAUUUAACACAUGACUGAAACAAAAUAAAUGGUGUAGCACUAAAAGCAUUUGAGGUAACACCGUCACAGGUUCCAGGGACGAGUAUGUGGACAUCUUUGCGGGGCCAUUAUUCUGCCUACCACACAAAGCAACGAAAAAUACACGUGCAGUCAAGACAGAACGUCCACAGGUGUGGGGAGGAAACGCACAGGAAUACGUGGAGCGGGACUUCACCUUGUUGUGGUGAAACAGCACUGGGCGCUGACUCCUGGACUCUGAGUUUUAGUUUCCUCGCCUAUAAAAACAGAGCGGCUAGACUGGAGGCUUCCAAACCAUGCUCCCCCAAGCCCUUGCGUUUCUUCAAGAUUGCUCCAGGGCCACUGCAGAGAGGAGGCCCAGCAAGCAGAACCUGGACCCUCCCUGAGAUGCUCAUCCCAAAGGGAUCAACAAGGAAUGUGGAUCUCAGUGAAUACUGCUGUGGAGGACAGAAUGCAAAUGAGGACUGCAAGAAAGAGUGCCCAGUCACGCCAAGGGCAGAGAGGGAGCUCAUCUUCACUAAGGAAAACUGCUUCUGA